UGUGACUCGUCAGGUGUCAUCUCCUCUGU
rnacentral:piRNA from 1 species